rnacentral:SRP_RNA from 1 species
CGGGUCCUAUGCAACGACUCGCUUCAAAACCCCGUCAGAGGAGGAAUCCAGCAGCGGUAUGAAGUUGAGCGUGUGCCGUAGGUAACCCGGUU